UAGGGAGUAGUAAAAUGGGAUUACUAAGAGUUUUGAUCUCUUAAUUAUAGGUUCAAUUCCUAUUUCUCUAA
rnacentral:tRNA from 1 species